GUAAUUCAUUUCUGUUGUAUUUUAUAAAAGCAUUUAAUCCACAAAGGACUAGAAAAAGAACCAAAGCCCCCAAAUUUGGUCCUGUCUAUACUAUUCAGUUUCUUGAAACUUCUCUCUCUCUUUUUUUUUUGUUUUUGUCUUUUUAGCGCUGCACCCGUGGCCUAUGGAAGUUCCCAGGCUAGAGGUUGAAUCAGAGCUACAGCUGCCGGCCUAUACCCCAGCCACAGCAACGUGGGAUCUGAGCCAUGUCUGCAACCUACACCACAGCUCAUGGCAUACCGGAUCCCCGACCCACUGAGCAAAGCCAAGGAUCGAACCCUCAUCCUUGCGGAUACUAGUCAGAUUCGUUUCCACUCUGCCACAACGGGAACUCUGCAACACGGUAUCCUUAACCCACUGAGUGAGGCUAGGGAUCGAACCUGCAUCCUCAUGGAUACUAGUCGGGUUCAUUAACUGCUGAGCCACGAGGGGAACUCUGCAGCUUCUUCUUAAUCUGCAGUUAUUUCAAAUAGGAAGUUAACAAAUGCAAAGAAUGUUUUGGAAAAAAAAGCUGAUCUCUGACCUCAGAUAGUUAGAGAAGUGCUAUUUAAAGCACCAGCCUUGGACUGAAUCAGCUAGACAGGGAAAGGAUAACUGUAAAAAAAAAUCACUAAGUUCAUGGUCAGUGUUAUGGCGAGUCCAGCCAUAACACUGAGGAUGCGAUCUAUUGCUACCUUUUCCAUCCAUUAUCUAUAAUAACGCUGUGUAAGAAAACCAACCACAUACACACAAAGCCCAGUGAUAUAAAGCAGGGAACACUCAUUAUCUCACUGUUAGCUCGGCUGGGAGUGGCUGGUCCAGGAGGGCCUCAGACCUGACAGCCUGGCUCUGGCCCACAGGGUCACGGUCUUCAGCGGCCUUGUUUCCAUGAACGAUGCAAAGUUCCAAGAGAGCACACGGCAGGUGGCAAGGCCUCUCCAGGCUUGGGCUCAGAACUGGCAUUCUCAUUGGGUUCCAUGGGCAAGCCAUGAGGCCAGGACAGAUUCCAGGGGUGGAAGAAUGGCUUCCACUUGGUGGGAUGCUGGAUAAAGGGAGCAGAAGAAUCAGGUAACAACAAGGUCCUACGGUAGAGCACAGGGAACUACAUUCAAUAUUCUGUGAUAAACCAUAAUGGACAAGAAUAUGAAAAAGAAUAUAUAUAUGUAUAAUGUAUAUAUCACUGAAUCGCAUUGCUGUACAGCAGAAAUUAACACAACCUUGUAAGUCAACUAUACCUUCAUAAAAAUUAAUGAACAUUGAUAAAAUAAAACAGACUAUGUCCGAAAAAGAGUGGGGAAGAAUAAGGACCAUUUUACAACCAACACACCAGGCCCUGAUAAUUAUAUGAGCCUCCACAUUUUCCAGAAAGUCAGAUCGAGCUCACAUUUCAGAUAUUAGUGCCUGACUUCCCGGCCCUAAAGGCUGUGAUGAAACGCCGCCCCUCUCCUUCUUAGGAACCAAAAUAGACACCAUUAAUUGAUCCCUGUACUCUGCUGAUGAACUUGGAAGUGACUUUAGAAUCCUCAGAAUUGGAUUUGCAAGCUGAAAUCUAUCACUCACCAUGGCAAUUAUGGACAGACAGGAGCACCUUAGGAGCCAAGACCCCUCGGAGGGCAGUGCGUUUGCAUGGUGUGGGUAAUGACAGCUGACUCCACCUCCUCAGGCAUUAAUCUCAGACUUGUGUGGUCACUGUAGCCCAGUUAGAAGGCCUGUGGAUAUCUGUCUACAACCUGAAAAGUGAAAGAACAGUCAGGCGCAUGUCAAGACAAGCAUAUGUUCUCCCACCUACAGUGGGCUGCAUUAGGCUGCAUGAAGGGUGAGGGGCAGUGCUUGGAGCACCUCUGGGUUAAUGUACAGCAAAGUUCUGCUAGUUUGGGGGAUCAUCAAGGACAAUGAAUGUGGUUAGAAUACUAGAAAUUCUCAGGAAUGGCACAAACGUAGCCUGAACACACUGGGUCUGAGUUCAGGGCAUGGAUGGAAUCCUAUUUUGGAUGCUCUCCUAUAGCCCUGGGAGACUGAAGGAGAAGGUGGAGGGAACUGGGCCCUGCAAGGGAAGAGGAGGAUCUCCCUUCUGCAGGAAUGGUGCCCUUGCCCAGCUGGCCAGGAGGGGCCAUGGCUGAACCUAGAGCAGGUGAGCCAUGAAGAUGGCCUGGAAGCAUGGGCAUAGUGCUUGACAAAGCCAAAGGUCUCCUGAACUUGGCAUUGGUUGAAGUCUGUCUCCAUAACAAUGAUAAGCUUUCCAAAGAACAAUUGUGGAGCCUGAGGAUGUAAGAGGGGCAGAAACUAUCCUUUGGCUUUUCUUCAGCAGCAUCUCUGUGCUGGACCCAGGGAUAAAAAAAAAGUUGCAUAAUCAUAUUGAACCUUUACACUAAUUCAAUAAGAUGGUAGCCCCAUUUUCCAGGGAGCCGUGAAUGGUUGAGUGAUUUACACAAGGUUCCAUGGGGACUCGGUUAGAGAGUCAGUAUUUAACUGAGAUAUGCGACAUUAAAGCCUGUCUCCUUCACCACGAUGCUCUACGACCUCUCAGGAUUUGAGAGCUUUGAAAAAGGUAGGGGUUGCCCUGGUCUGUUCCAGGGAUAAGGGUAAGUGAGCCUCGGUAGUGGAGAAGCAGUGGGGUUUGGAACCAGGGAGGAUGAAGCAGCCAUAGGCAGGUAGAUCAUGGGCAUAGCAUGGAUCUGAACUGCUUUCCCACGGAGUCCCUGAAAGACACAGACCCCAGUGACAUUCCCUGUGUGCUUUGUUUGGCCAUGUAGGACUCACCCAGCCCACCGAGAGGCAGGUCCCAAUAGCAGGUGGACCGGGCAUCGACUUGGGGGCUUAAGUGCAUGACACAACUUCAGGGGUGAAAAGCUGCCCAUCACACAAGUCCAGGAAGAGGGAGCAGGGGUGUACCGAGAGCAGGAAGUGGGGGAAGGCAACUGGGGAGGCAUAAACAGGUAGUAGAAGUCUACCUGGGCAGUCAGCCUGGAGAGACCUGACAGGCACAGGAGGGGGGACAGAGUAACAGAGCCUAGGUCUCAGGGGCCAGGUGACUCCCACAAGGCAGAUAAUGCAGAGACAAAAGCACAAGAGAGGGAUGAUUCUAAGAUGCACCCCCUCCUCAGCCCCCAACUUCCCCCAUUACCAGACCCAAGACCAACCACAGAAGGGGGCCAGUCAACAUGAGGUUCCCAUGGGAGGAUCGCUUCAUUGCCCUGUCGGGAACUGUCCUGGUCCCAUGCCACAGGCCUAAGUGGACAGAUGCAGAGGGAUCAGAGUCACUAGCAGCACAAGGUUUGGGGCAGGGACGCAGGCGAGGGACUUUUCAGCCUUGCCUCUGCCACUCAUUCCAGGCCCUGCUUCAGACAGACUGGAGAUUUCAGAAACAGAGCCUGGUAAACUCUAUUUAAUUUUUUUUCUUUUAUGCUGCAGCAUUUUGAACCAGUGAAUCACCACAUUCUUGUAUUGGGAUGGUUCCGAAGGAGGUGACAUUGGCUGGACUCACAGGAGAGACUUGAGUUAGACAGGCGGGAGAACUUCCUGGUUUGAAGGGCACAACAGGGGGAUGAUAGAGUGGCUGUCAUUCUUGCUCUUUCACCCCACCCCACCCCCUUUCCCUUCACUCUUUAGCACAUUUCCUCCCCUUUCUUCUUGCAUUUCACUGGUCGGUGUUUGCCAGAGCCAGGGGAGAGCUCAUUACCUCAGCCUUGAUCAUGGCUUUGGGGGAACUGGCACAGGUGCUAUAAUCCCGUGUGCUGGGAGGGCCCAGUGAUGACAGCCUUAUGUUAAACUGAUGUGUUCUCAUUUCUGUUGAGGAUGACUAUAUUUCUAUACACUUUAUUUCACCCUUUAAACAUUUAUGUUCCUGUGUCAUGAUUAAUUAAGUGCAGUAAAAUGAAGUGUUUGCAAAGUUAAAAAAAAAAUACCCAAAACCCCUCCCUUCUCUGGAGUCUUUGUACUUCACUUUCUUUGCUACAAAUGUCAGCCCAUCUUUCUCUUUGUUCUUUUCUCCUGUUGGUCUGUCACCUUUCUUUAUUUCUCCCUUCCUCUCCUCCAGGCCAGGCUUUCAGUCCCCACUCCAGCAAAGGAUCUAUGGAUGCCAAAUGCUUUCAAGACAACAGGGGGUUAGUCUAACCAGAGAGCCGGCCCUCCUCUUGCCUCUCCAUCCCGCCUCUGCUUCCCCUGCCCUCCUCUCCCCUUCCUUCCUCUUCUCUUUUUUUUCAUCCAUCUCUUCCCAUUUUCCUAUCCUAUCAGAUCCCUCUCAUAAUGAGAGUUUAAUCCAGAAAAGGGCAGUGACUGGAAGAGCGAGCCCACAAUGUCACAACUGGGGGAAAUUCAACAAUGAUGGUGAGUGGGUACCUCUUGGGCCCAAGUCAGAGAUGAUGAGGAGUUACGGGCAUGAGAACAUUCUGGGGUCACCAUCUCUACUUGCAGGCAGAUAGUCUUAAUGAGUUGACUAGAAGUCUACAUAUAAGUUACCCUCAAAGUUAAUUUGUUUAAACCUCCAAUACUCGAUUCUUAGCCGGUCAGAAAAAGAGCCUUGUUGAGCGCUGGUUUAGAGACGCCUCCAUCCAAGGUUUCAUGGAUUUACUAAAGGCUUUCAGAUCAGACUUCAAGGUGCUGCUGGACAAAUAUUCACUUGACGAAGGUGCUCGUACUUCAAGGAACACUCUCCUUGCUCGGUGGGCUCAUUAAAAUGCAGGUUUGGAGUUCCUGUUGUGGCUCAGCAGGUUAAGAACCUGACUAGUAUCCAUGAGGAUGCAGAUUUGAUCCCUGGCCUCGCUCAGUGGGUUACGGAUCCAGCGUUGCUGCAAGUUGUGGUGUAGGUCACAGAAAUGGCUCGGAUCUGCCGUGGCUGUGGCUGUGGCUGUGGGGUAGGCCUACAGCUGAAGCUCCAAUUUGAUCCCUAGCCUGAGAACUUCCAUAUGCAGCAGGUGCAAUUGUAAAAAACGAGGAACAAUAACAAUGACAAACAACACAGGUUCUUAGACCUCCUCUCUAAAGAUCUAGGUUCAGUGUGACGGAGAAGGGGCCCAAGAAGCCACCCUUUCAAGGAGGUCUUUGAUGAUUCUAAAGCAGGCCAUUCCUUGACUGCAUUCCAAGAAACACCGCUUAAAUGAAUAAAGGCCAUUGUUACUCUUGAGACGAGAGUGAGGCAAACACUCUGAGUGGCUCUUGAGGGUGCACAAGUGUUUGUGUUCUCAUUGUACAUAAAAUCUCUGUGGGCCACUGAGUGGGAGGCAAGGAAAUAGAAGCCCAGGUCUGCAUCCCCUGUCUUCAAUUGCUCCUCCAAGAUUGCCCCUGGGGGAAUUCAGCUAUAUCGCAGUGUGGCUGGGGACCCACCUUUCUUGCAUUCACUCCCCUAGGUCCUUAUCCUGGGCAUUUACUGUAUAAACUUACAAACAAGCCAGGAAAAUAAAAGAAUUCAUAUCAUACAGCAGACAUAGCACAACACUGUAAAGUUACUAUCCUUCAAUUAAAAAAAUUAACUUCAAAUAAGAUAAAAUAAUAAGGGCGUUCCCCUUGUGGCUCAGUGGUAACGGACAGGACUAGCAUCCAUGAGGACGCAGGUUCGAUCCCUGACCUCGCUCAGUGGGUUAAGGAUCCAGUGUUGCUGUGAGCUGUGGUGUAGGGCACAGACGCACCUCGGAUCCUGCAUUGCUUCGGCUGUGGUGUAGUCCAGCAGCUGCAGCUCUGACUCGACCUGGAGCCUGGGAACCUCCAUAUCCCACAGGUGCGGCCCUAAAAAGACCCUAGUAAAAUAAAAUAAGAUAACUAUUGCAGGAGUAGUGUCAGUAGACAUCCCUGGAUGAAGGUCUAGGACAAUAGCCAGCCCAGGGUGCCCCGCGGUCUGUAUGGAAAUGAUUCUGAGGACCCCUCACAGCACGGCCUUUCCUCUGAAGCUAUCAGACAGCAGGGCAGCCAGAAGCCUUUGCUCAAUGGUGUUUGGGGGCCACUUUGUGGCUUCUGACCAAGCCGGAGUCUCAGGGCCUGGCUCCAGGGGCUUGAGGACGAACCCCAGUGUCCCAGCAAAGUUCACAUGGGUGGGUCUCCUUAUUCCACUUUAAAACCUUUAGCCCCUUGCUCAGGUCCUCCUUCUUGCUCUCCUCCCUUAAGUGUGGUCUGUGGUCAGUUGGUCCUUGCUGCGCAACUCAGGGCAGGAUGUUUUCCUGCUCGUGGCUUGGCCUGCUAAUUG
rnacentral:lncRNA from 1 species